AGGGGAGUAGAUCAGUUGGUAGAGCACCGGUCUCCAAAACCGGGUGUCGCAGGUUCAAGUCCUGUCUCCCCUGCCA
rnacentral:tRNA from 1 species